UACGUAGGGGGCGAGCGUUGUUCGGAUUUACUGGGCGUAAAGAGCGCGUAGGCGGUACGAUAAGUCGGAGGUGAAAUCCCUCGGCUCAACCGAGGACACGCGUCCGAUACUGUCGAACUUGAGUGCAGGGGAGGAGAGCGGAAUUCCCAGUGUAGCGGUGAAAUGCGUAGAUACUGGGAGGAACACCGGUGGCGAAGGCGGCUCUCUGGACUGUCACUGACGCUGAGGCGCGAAAGCUAGGGGAGCAAACGGG
rnacentral:rRNA from 1 species